rnacentral:tRNA from 1 species
GCUCGGUUGAUCUAGUUGGUUAUGAUGUGGACCUAAUACCUCUUGCGUAACAAGUCCAAUGUCGGCGGUUCGAUCCCGCCACUGAGCA